rnacentral:rRNA from 1 species
UACGUAGGGGGCAAGCGUUAUCCGGAUUUACUGGGUGUAAAGGGAGCGUAGGCGGCGAUGCAAGUCAGAAGUGAAAGCCCGGGGCUCAACUCCGGGACUGCUUUUGAAACUGUAUGGCUAGAUUGCAGGAGGGGUAAGUGGAAUUCCUAGUGUAGCGGUGAAAUGCGUAGAUAUUAGGAGGAACACCAGUGGCGAAGGCGGCUUACUGGACUGUAACUGACGUUGAGGCUCGAAAGCGUGGGAAGCAAACAGG